AUCUAACUGACGAGUCCCAAAUAGGACGAAACAUGCAU
rnacentral:hammerhead_ribozyme from 1 species